rnacentral:rRNA from 1 species
AAGACCUUGCGCUUUUGGAGCGGCCGAUGCCUGAUUAGCUUGUUGGUAAGGUAAAAGCUUACCAAGGCUUCGAUCAGUAGCUGGUCUGAGAGGACGGCCAGCCACACUGGGACUGAGACACGGCCCAGACUCCUACGGGAGGCAGCAGUGGGGAAUUUUGGACAAUGGGGGCAACCCUGAUCCAGCCAUGCCGCGUGAGUGAAGAAGGCCUUCGGGUUGUAAAGCUCUUUCAGCCGGAACGAAACGGUUACGGUUAAUACCCGUGAUUACUGACGGUACCGGAAGAAGAAGCACCGGCUAACUACGUGCCAGCAGCCGCGGUAAUACGUAGGGUGCGAGCGUUAAUCGGAAUUACUGGGCGUAAAGGGUGCGCAGGCGGUCUUGUAAGUCAGAUGUGAAAUCCCCGGGCUCAACCUGGGAACU